rnacentral:rRNA from 1 species
UACAGGGGGUGCAAACGUUGCUCGGAAUUAUUGGGCGUAAAGCGCGCGUAGGCGGCCACUUAAGUCGGAUGUGAAAGCCCCUGGCUCAACUGGGGAAGUGCACCCGAAACUGAAUGGCUUGAGUGCGAAAGAGGGUCGCGGAAUUCCCGGUGUAAAGGUGAAAUUCGUAGAUAUCAGGAAGAACACCCGUGGCGAAGGCGGUUCUCUGGGACGGUACUGACGCUGAGACGCGAAAGCGUGGGGAGCGAACAGG